UACGAAGGGUGCAAGCGUUACUCGGAAUUACUGGGCGUAAAGCGUGCGUAGGUGGUUCGUUAAGUCUGAUGUGAAAGCCCUGGGCUCAACCUGGGAAUGGCAUUGGAAACUGGCGACCUAGAGUGCGGUAGAGGGUAGUGGAAUUCCCGGUGUAGCAGUGAAAUGCGUAGAGAUCGGGAGGAACACCAGUGGCGAAGGCGACUUUCUGGCCUGUUCUUGACGCUGAGGCGCGAAAGCUAGGGGAGCAAACGGG
rnacentral:rRNA from 1 species